GUGAGGAAUCUUCCACAAUGGGCGAAAGCCUGAUGGAGCAACGCCGCGUGAAGGAUGAAGGUCUUCGGAUUGUAAACUUCUUUUAUGAGUGAAGAAUAUGACGGUAACUCAUGAAUAAGCACCGGCUAACUACGUGCCAGCAGCCGCGGUCAUACGUAGGGUGCAAGCAUUAUCCGGAGUGACUGGGCGUAAAGAGUUGCGUAGGCGGUUAUGUAAGCGAAUAGUGAAACCUGGUGGCUCAACCACACAGACUAUUAUUCGAACUGCAUAACUCGAGAAUGGUAGAGGUAACUGGAAUUUCUUGUGUAGGAGUGAAAUCCGUAGAUAUAAGAAGGAACACCAAUGGCGUAGGCAGGUUACUGGGCCAUUUCUGACGCUAAGGCACGAAAGCGUGGGGAGCGAACCGGAUUAGAAACCCUAGUAGUCC
rnacentral:rRNA from 1 species